rnacentral:sRNA from 1 species
AGGCCCGCCUUUAAUGCAGAUUUACUUUCUUUUCCAUUCUUUCUCUCCUUCUAGUUCCAGGUUUAUUAUUACCAAGUUACGGCCGGGAGUUGGCACAAGGUUGUUUGUUCUAUCCAUGUCUGAUUCAAAAGCGAAACAAAAUUGCCAACCAGGUUGAUGCUUGUUUGAUUUGGCCCUGGCAGCGGCUCCGGGGCGAAUAAAGCCCUCAAAUGGGGUUUGGGACUUCACCUGUCAUAAUUCAAAAAUUAUGUCUUCUUAUCCUUGUUUCAGCUUUCAAGAGAGAGGUCGACCACAUCCCGCAGGAAACAAAACAAAACAUGGGUUGAAUUCUAAGAAUGGAUGGAGGGCGUAAAAAAAAAAAAAAAAAAAAAA